rnacentral:rRNA from 1 species
UGGGGAAUCUUGCGCAAUGGACGAAAGUCUGACGGAGCAACGCCGCGUGAGUGAAGACGGCCUUCGGGUUGUAAAGCUCUGUUAUUCGGGAAGAACGAUCCGUUUGUGAACAAUGAACGGAAGUGACGGUACCGAAAGAGAAAGCCACGGCUAACUACGUGCCAGCAGCCGCGGUAAUACGUAGGUGGCAAGCGUUGUCCGGAAUUAUUGGGCGUAAAGGGCGCGUAGGCGGUAUGGUAAGUCUGUCUGAAAAGUGCGGGGCUUAACCCCGUGAGGGGACAGAGACUGUCAUACUGGAGUCUCGGAGAGGAAAGCGGAAUUCCUAGUGUAGCGGUGAAAUGCGUAGAGAUUAGGAAGAACACCGGUGGCGAAGGCAGGUUUCUGGACGAGCACUGACGCUGAGGCGCGAAAGCGUGGGGAGCGAACAGG